CGAAUAAGGGAAGAGACUUGGCAACCCCCAUCCCAUUCCCAUCAAAGACGGAUCAGGAGCCUAGGGAGGUGGGUAUGGGCACAGCUCAUUAAUAAAAACCAAGCAUGUUUCGCCUGGAAGAUCCUCUGAGGUGCUCCCAACCCCCACGCCCACUGCACACACCCAUAAAAUGGGUAAAGCUCAGCAGCCUGAGAAUACAGAGAUAGAGUGUCACGGGUGUAAUUUAACCACCAGUGAAUGAAGGCACGGCGGGUGCAGCCACAGCAUUGAGCUGCGCAUGUCAACUUGGACGUGUGGAUGACCGGUCCAGGUGUGAACCCUGCAUUGUUUGUGCAGCUAACCUAAGCCAGAUGUUUCUUUGAGUGGGCACAGGGGUGGGGCAAAGAGGACUUAAUUCAACAGCUUUGAGAGAAGAGGCUGAUGAUGGGCAUCAUUUUUUGACCUUGAUCUCUGACGGUUGCAAGAUGGGAGAUCCACCAGUGAGGACAACUCACCAUGUCAAGUCCGGCAUUCACAUCUGAACCCGCUCCGCUCACAUGGGCGUGAACACCUAUUUUUUUUUGUUUGUUUGUUUUUAAUAAAUUUAUUUAUUUAU